GUACUCGAUCUGCCAUUACAGGCUUUAUUUGUUAUUAAUUAAGACACUGUUAUAAUUAAUGAAAUAUUAUUAUUAUUACAAUGUUGUUUUUGUUUGUUAUAGUUUUAUCCCACAUUUGCCCAGUUAUCAAUUGUUAAAAAAUGGAUGAUGGAUGAUAUAUCCCCGAUCUCAUGGGUGGAUGAUCAAGUGUAUGAGCGGUGCUAGGGCUGGAUGAUCACUUGUGUUGAAGGUUUUUUUUUGAAGAUACACUUUGUAUCGUACAUGUUAAAUGCUCUUUAUGCAGCAUAAAUCAUCCAGGCUGAAUCCAGUGAUAGAGGGAAUCUCUCUUGUUUUCUGUCAGAAGGGCGUCUUGUACACUCAUGUUUUUCUCCUCUCCUUGUUAUAUAUCGUUGCGUGAAAAGAUUUCUUGUGACAAAUCUUGGGAGAUUCAGAUUACGGUACUUUGUAGCAUGAACUGUUGUUGAUUGUUGAUCAGUAAUUUUUAAUUUAUCACUUAAUUGAACCUAAGAUAUCUGAUUUAAAAGAAUGUAUGACUUUGAUACUUUAUCAUAUUUAUUGUGACAGAAUCCUUCAAAUGCUUGAUCUCUGCAGACUUUACAAUGUAUACUUGUACUUCAGUGACAGUUAAUUCUUGCGCUUCUCUCGAACGGGUGAUGGUGUUUCUUUGUCGAUGACCAAUGAUUAUUUAAAUAUAUAUAAUUAUGUACUUAAAUGUUGUUUUAUAUGUGUGAAUUUCUUCAAUAGAUUUUUCAUAUGG
rnacentral:sRNA from 1 species